GAUGAACGCUGGCGGCGUGCCUAAUACAUGCAAGUCGAGCGAACGGACGAUAAGCUUGCUCCUCUGAUGUUAGCGGCGGACGGGUGAGUAACACGUGGAUAACCUACCUAUAAGACUGGGAUAAUAUCGGGAAACCGGAGCUAAUACCAGAGAAUAUUUUGAACCGCAUGAUUCAAAAGUGAAAGACGGUCUUGCUGUCACUUAUAGAUGGAUCCGCGCUGCAUUAGCUAGUUGGUAAGGUAACGGCUUACCAAGGCAACGAUGCGUAGCCGACCUGAGAGGAUGAUCGGCCACACUGGAACUGAGACACGGUCCAGACUCCUACGGGAGGCAGCAGUAGGGAAUCUUCCGCAAUGGGCGAAAGCCUGACGGAGCAACGCCGCGUGAGUGAUGAAGGUCUUCGGAUCGUAAAACUCUGUUAUUAGGGAAGAACAUAUGUGUAAGUAACUGUGCACAUCUUGACGGUACCUAAUCAGAAAGCCACGGCUAACUACGUG
rnacentral:rRNA from 1 species